rnacentral:rRNA from 1 species
GACGAACGCUGGCGGCGUGCUUAACACAUGCAAGUCGAACGGAAAGGCCCUGCUUUUGUGGGGUGCUCGAGUGGCGAACGGGUGAGUAACACGUGUGUAACCUGCCCUUGACUUUGGGAUAACUUCAGGAAACUGGGGCUAAUACCGGAUAGGAGCUCCUGCUGCAUGGUGGGGGUUGGAAGGUUUAGGCGGUUGGGGGGGGGAUGGCGUCGUAUCAGCUUGUUGGUGGGGUGGUGGCUUACCAUGGCUUUGACGGGUAGCCGAGCUGCGAGGGUGACAGGCCACAUUGGGACUGAGAUGCGGCCCGGACUCGUCUGGGAGGCAGCGGUGGGGAAGAGUGCACAAUGCGAGGAGGCCUGAUGCAGUAACGCCGCGUGGGGGAAGACGGCCAGGGGGUUGUGUAGCGCAUCCGUCUGUGAUGAGGAGAGAGUGACGGUAACAGGAAAAGAAGCACCGGCUAACUACGUG